rnacentral:lncRNA from 1 species
AUCAAUAAAUGUGAUGAGGAUUUAUUUGAGUAUAGAUAUUGUCUAGAAGAUAAUAUUUGUAUUCAAACUCACAGUUUUACUGUUGUAAUAAUAAAGUUGUAGUUGUUUCUGUACCAUGUAUUGACAACUCAGAAUGGGUGAUGUAUACCUAUUUUGGGGGCGUCACAGUUGGUAUCAGAGCUUAGGGAUAUGAUCUCUGGCGGAGAUCGGGGAAUAGAACUAGGAGGGGAGAGACGAGUAAAUCCUUCGCUAGUGUGUCCUACCUAAGCUUAUUUGUUAGUUGGUCAGUAUAUAGGGAUAUUAUGUGAUAUAUUGAUUUCCUUAAUUAACCCUUGUUUUAUGACAAUAUUUGAGAAUGUCGACUGAGAAUAUUAACAGUGGAAAUGAGACCGUGGAGACGCCGGUACUCACCAACGAGGAGAACGUGCAACAGG